UCAGUGCCUUUCUUAACUAAUCCUGUCACUGUAAAAUCCUACAGUCAUUCUUCCACACAUAAAGGGAAAACGGACUCACUAGGAGGACCUAGACUCUUUCAGCUUGAACUGUUAACCAAUGGUGGAAAUGCAAGAAUGCUGAAGUUGUGCCUUCAGAGCCAAUAGAGUGGAUUUGUGUGUCCCACAUGACUGUGUUUCCUCUGUCUUUCACAUGGGCAGUAUUUAGUUCAAUUCAGAACUGCAGAUAGUAUAGCGUGCAGAGCAGCAAUGGGAUGUCUGAGCACAAGUGGCUGACUUCCAGGCGACUUCAGGAAGCACAUUUGUACAUUUCUCCUGAAUUUAACUGGGAUUCUGCACCCUUGACACCCUCCGACCCUCCUUGUCUCUGCAGAAGGAGACAGCGACCUGCACAGCACAACAAAACUUUUGCAUUUUACAGACCACAAACCUCAGAAGAUCAUUGUGUGGAAGAAACACACUGGGCCAACUCAUCCUGUCCAUCUGACACAAAGCACAGCCCAUUUUGGUGUUCUUUCCAUUCUGAAGGAGUCUCAUAUCAGGUCAGGCCAUGA
rnacentral:lncRNA from 1 species